CGCUCGCAAGAUCCUGUCCUCCCUAUUCCUCUGCUAAUCUUCCUCCCGAGACGCCCCUGCAGCUUAGGGUUCCUGCUGCCCAUCUUGCCUCUCGCAUCCAAUUCACCUCAAUCGUGGAUUCUCAAUCUCAUACCCCCACUUGCUUCUCUCUUCUGCCGCCGGCCGUGCUAGGAAGGAACCAGCGCUUUGGGAGGACUCGCUGCCCUUGCCGCCUCCACAGCUGCUGGAGGGGAGGUAGGUGGUGGUCUGUCCCAUUAAGAGCACCGCAACAACGAGGUGUGCCUGUGCUUCACCCUGCCGCCUAAGUGGACCACAUUUUCGGUGCUGCCUUAUGCGAGAUCCGGCCGUGACGAUCGCCGCCGGUGCCGGGAUGGGGAGGAGCGAUUUCCGCGCGCCGCCUGUGCCGGGAUGGGGAGGGGCGUCGUCCGCCACCUCCUGAUGCGACCGCUGCCCGUCCCUCAUGGCGCUGCGUGUACCACGCCUGAGAGGCAGGUUGGCGGCGCGGCGCACUGCGCCCCUACCCUGAUGGCUGCUGCACGACGUGCGACCGGCCGACAAGGUUAGCGCCGUCCCGCUGUCGACUGCAGUCAUCGUUCUCUCCGGGCACCCCAGCCGUAUCUGCCCAGCAUAGCUGAUUGAUGAGCCUUCAUGUCGCCUUCCUCCGAUGUGCUAUUGGUCUGUUGUUGCGCGCCUAGACCAGCAGGUGGGUUACUGGGGCAGGCUGUCGUGGACUACGGCCUGGAGAAUGAUGUGCUGCCCCUCGAGAAUACCAUUUCAGAAGGUACUGCAAGUUGUCCGAUGGGGGUGCGGCAUAAGUUGUCCUUUCAAGUGUGGUGCUCCUUGUUGUGCUUAAAUACUGUGAGAGGUGGGCUUGGUUUUGAUUCAUAAUUUAUGUCUAUUUCGUUGCUCCUUUGCUAUUUGUCACCAUGACAGGAUGUAGUGGGUUGCUAUCUAAUUUGGAGGGAGGGCUCACCAAUUAGAUCACCAUCUAACUUCUAACUAUAUUAACGACCAAGGAACACUUCAUUUCACCGAGCAAGCAUCCAUCCUUGCAUUAUGUAUAAAUGGUGUCAACAUUCACCCCUGUAAGGUUAGUUUGUUUAAAUGUAAUAAAUAUGGAUGGUAAGAAGGUUGGCAAGAUUAGCAAUCCGUCAUGUAUUCUGACUACGAUGAUAUGUUGAUGUUCAGUGCGGGACGUGCCGGGUAUGCUAACCAUCUAUUGCAGUUCCAUCUGUGGUGGGUGCAAUUGCUUUUAGGCACAAAUUUACUUUCACAAUACUUCUGUCUAUAGUCUCCUAGCACUAGCAUAUGGACUCUCUUCGGCAAUACUUCUAUCCAGAGUCUCCUAGCACUACCAUAUGGAGUCACAUGUGUUGUAUUGCUGAAGAGAAUUUUCAGGGAGUGCAUUAAACUCAUUGAGAUGACCCUGUUUGUUACAUGCCUACAGUAUUACUAUUCUGAAGUCUUAGUUUCAGAAAACUAAUCUCUCUCUCUCUCUCUCUCUCUCUCUCAAAAGAAGCAUCUAUAUAGUCUAUAAUAACUAAAUAGACUAAUCGACUUCUCUCAACAUGAAGGUGUUCAGGUUAUUACUUCUCUUCUACCAUGUCACUUUCAGGAGUAUUAAAUUGUAAGGAUCGACAUGUGCAAUACUAACAUCUUAGUUUCAGUCUUAGAACGGGUGGCGGUUGUGAAGCGAUGAAAUCACAGCAGCCGCCGCGUCCUUCCUGCUCUCCUUCACCUCCCGCAGAACCGCGCUCUAGGGAAAUUGUUCUUUCAUUCUUCAUAGAAUGAUUUCUUUAUCUGCCCUAUCACCAGCCCUGUGCUACUCCUGAAAGUUGAUGGUUCAGGAAUGAUGGAAAUUGUGCCUCACCUAAAUAUUGUUGUCGUUUGCGUUACAUAGAUCAGUAAGUAAAAUAGGUUAGGAUUCCUUUACAGAAAUAGGUCAGGAUGAUGGUAUUUUAUUCAUUUUACCUUUUUCCAGAUUUUCAUCUUUAGAUGAUGAUGAAUUCUUUCCACCCAUGUAUGCCUUUAUUUGGUAUACAUGUAGAAUGUGCUCCAUCCGUGGAACUGUGUGAAUACACAUUGUUUGGUAUACAUGUAGAAUGUGCUCCAUGCCUGUGAGUGCAAAUAUACAAUGAAGUGACUACUUGUAGAUUGUCGUUUGAUGAUUAUUAUAGCUCUAUCUGCAGUGGUCGUGGUAGGCCACCAGCUCCUGGCCGACAAAGACGUGGCAGGUCGACCAAGACUCCAUGCCAUCAAGAUCCCAGCUUCCAUGUUGAUUUUCUUAUUAGGUCUGGGUUUCUUACUUGCAGGUAAUGGUCGUGUUGGAUUUUCUUGCUUGGAUGCUUUUUUGUGUACUCAAGCUGCAAGUAGUCACUCUGCUGAUUAUUUUCGUUAACCGGUUGCAAGGAGAUAAGUAGUACAGGCUCAAGGAGGUGUAUUUGUCACUUCAAUUUUUUUAAUGGAUAUUGUAAUAGGCAGUUUCAAAUAUCCCAUUUUAUAUAGGUCACAACAAUCGUGUCGAAGAUGUAAUUACCUCGGCUUAUACCAGGGUUGCCUGCCGACCUCUACUAAAUGGUUCAGCUGAUGGUUACUAAGAACUCCAAGUAUCUUUUGGCCAUACAUGCAAAUUGGGUAACUUUUGUGUGAAUAAAUGUUGUCAAUGCCAAUAUGUCCAGAUUUGGGUGA